rnacentral:rRNA from 1 species
UACAGGGGGGGGCAAGCGUUGUUCGGAAUUACUGGGCGUAAAGGGCUCGUAGGUGGCCAACUAAGUCAGACGUGAAAUCCCUCAGCUUAACUGGGGAACUGCGUCUGAUACUGGAUGGCUUGGAUUCGGGAGAGGAAUGCGGAAUUCCAGGUGUAGCGGUGAAAUGCGUAGAUAUCUGGAGGAACACCGGUGGCGAAGGCGGCAUUCUGGACCGACAUUGACGCUGAGGAGCGAAAAGCCAGGGGAGCAAACGGG